AGGUUAAGCUAAUAAGAGCACACGGAGGAUGCCUAGGCGCCAGGAGCCGACGAAGGACGUGGCGAACAACGAAACUGCCUCGGGGAGCUGUAAGCAAGCUUUGAUCCGGGGGUGUCCGAAUGGGGAAACCCAGCUGUGGUAAUUCGCAGUUACUCAUACCUGAAUACAUAGGGUGUGUAGAGGCAGACCAGGGGAACUGAAACAUCUAAGUACCCUGAGGAAGAGAAAACAAUAGUGAUUCCGUCAGUAGCGGCGAGCGAACGCGGAACAGCCUAAACCUAAGAGCUUGCUCUUAGGGGUUGUGGGACGUCUCACAUGGAGUUACAAAGGAAUAUGGUAGGCGAAGAGGUCUGGAAAGGCC
rnacentral:rRNA from 1 species